UACGGGGGGGGCAAGCGUUGUUCGGAAUUACUGGGCGUAAAGGGCUCGUAGGCGGCCAACUAAGUCAGACGUGAAAUCCCUCGGCUUAACCGGGGAACUGCGUCUGAUACUGGAUGGCUUGAAUCCGGGAGAGGGAUGCGGAAUUCCAGGUGUAGCGGUGAAAUGCGUAGAGAUGUGGAGGAAUACCGAUGGCGAAGGCAGCCCCCUGGGCCAAUACUGACGCUCAUGCACGAAAGCGUGGGGAGCAAACAGG
rnacentral:rRNA from 1 species